rnacentral:rRNA from 1 species
UGACGGUAUCUAACCAGAAAGCCACGGCUAACUACGUGCCAGCAGCCGCGGUAAUACGUAGGUGGCAAGCGUUGUCCGGAUUUAUUGGGCGUAAAGGGAACGCAGGCGGUUUUUUAAGUCUGAUGUGAAAGCCUUCGGCUCAACCGAAGAAUUGCAUUGGAAACUGGAAGACUUGAGUGCAGAAGAGGAGAGUGGAACUCCAUGUGUAGCGGUGGAAUGCGUAGAUAUAUGGAAGAACACCAGUGGCGAAAGCGGCUCUCUGGUCUGUAACUGACGCUGAGGUUCGAAAGCGUGGGGAGCAAACAGGAUUAGAUACCCUG